CAUACCCACAUGCGGCAUGCGACCUCCCCAUGACCCAAUUCACCAUCAUCUUGACGCAUAACUCGAAGUCAGUGGCAUUUUCAUUGCUCACAGCAACGCAGCAGCACCGCGCACAGCAGAAAGGCCGCUUUUGUCGCGUCGGGCAAAUCUGCGAUUGAUGGUGGCGACGCGGUUCCAUCGUCGAUUCAUGAUCAGCAUUUUGAUAUGCCCACUAGCCUCGCCACUAGCCGACUGCCGCGCUAGCGGUUGCGGACUCUCCCCUUGGGCAGCUGGGCUGCAGUGCUAAGCAUGCUCCCGGUGACUUAGCUUGUCUGGAAUCGUUGUGCCUGUUUACGCAGGAUGCUUCGCAAUCGAUUGCUCAUCAGCCAUUGGAGCUGCCUGCCCGUUGAGAGGCCUACCCGUGCCUGCCCGCUAUCGAAUCUUGAUCAAAUAACUCUUGAAACCGAUCUGCCCAUUCUUCCAGCCGCUCUUAUUGAUGCAUACAACCGAUCCGACAUGCUCAUGAUAUUCCGAUGAUCUUUCGAGUCUAUAUGAUUAUUCGUGGGCCAUCUAGUAGAGUCACUACGUAUGGAUUCUAGACCACUUUGAGGCUUGAGGCGAUGAUUCCUUGAAAGCCAGACAUCCGGGUCUCGAAGUACUUCGGUGCCUGGCUGGGAGGAACCAGAGUAGGAAUUGUGUACAAACAUAAAGAAUUGUUUCUAAGACAAACGCAAUAUCAUCAACUGCCAUCGCUCACAGUUGGGUAGCUCUAGCAAGAAGAAAGAUCCUUUGCAAGAUAUUGAAGCCUGUUUGGUUAGCAAAGAAUCCACAUCACUCAUUUCCCCCACUCUCCCGACCUCACAUGAGGGUUAGGGAUAGCUUAGCGGAGUAUUCUCCGUUUCCCCAUUUACUGUGAAUGCUUUUUAUAUUGCCUUUUUUGUUGUAUAUUUGCAGUUUUUGCAUAAAAAAGGAAACCCUAUUGAAGCUCGAAUAACGGAGAACUUUAGAGAUCCUUAUUUACAAACCAUCAGAUCAUUACGAAACUUAAAUACCCACUGCAAUGCAUGCUAUAUCAAUAUGUUCCUCGCAUAGGAAACAAGAAUAUUUUUUGAAGAUUAGAG
rnacentral:sRNA from 1 species